rnacentral:antisense_RNA from 1 species
CAUACAUCUUAAUACUGGUCUUCAAGGCUUGAGGACAAGUCUGCUGUGGCUUGUGGGAAAAGUUUUCCACCAUGACAAAGGAGAUUUGAGAAAACAAACUGCCCUUUCUAUGCCUUUGGAGGCAGUUAUGCAGAUUUGAUAUCUAGAGCUGUGACAGCCAUUUUGUGACCUCAAAAAGAGAGGCCCAAGGACAAAAGGAAGCAAGUUAAAGAUGGUAGAGCAGACAGACAGAACUCAGAACCUUGACAAGUGCAUUAAUCACUGUAUCAAGUCUAUAAUUGCCUUGCUCCUGGCCUUCUCAUCUUAAACAUUAUCUCACUUUUAAUAUGGUAUUCUGGUACUUUCAAAAGAAAGAAUCCUAAAUCUAUAAGUAGAUUUUGUGUGCUUGGAGAAUAAGUCCCACAUCUUCUAUGUCUGCACUUCUACAGAUGCACAGGGGUGUAAUUGUUGGGAUCCAAUUAUUUUACGAGUAAUUACUUCGGAUAAAAUUUAUCACCCUUAAACUUUGAAAAGAUUCCUGAGUGUACAAAAGCAACUGAGGAGGCCAGCUUCUAUGAAAGUAACUUUGAUGGACAGCUACCAUAGGUAAAGCAUUUCAGAUUUCUUAUCUCAUUCAAUACUAGGCUGGGCGCGGUGGCUCACGCCUGUAACCCCUGCACUUUGGGAGGCCGAGGUGGGUGGAUCACCUGAGGUCAGGAGUUCAAGACCAGCCUGGCCACCAUGAUGAAACCCCAUCUCUAUUAAAAAUACAAAAAAUUAGCUGGGCGUGAUGGCAGGCGCCUGUAAUCUCAGCUACUCAGGAGGCUGAGGUAGGAGAAUUGCUUGAACCCAGGCGGCAGAGGCUUCAGUAAGCCUAGAUCGUGCCACUGUAUUCCAGCCUGGGUGGCAGAGUGAA